rnacentral:rRNA from 1 species
AGAACGUAGCAAACUGCGAUACUUGGUGUGAAUUGCAGAAUCCCGUGAACCAUCGAGUCUUUGAACGCAAGUUGCGCCCGAAGCCAUUAGGCCGAGGGCACGUCUGCCUGGGCGUCACGC